GAUGAAGAACGUAGUGAAAUGCGAUAAGUAAUGUGAAUUGCAGAAUUCAGUGAAUCAUCGAGUCUUUGAACGCACAUUGCGCCCCCUGGUAUUCCGGGGGGCAUGCCUGUCCGAGCGUCAUUGCUGCCCUCAAGCACGGCUUGUGUGUUGGGCCCCCGUCCCCGGUUUCCCCCGGGGACGGGCCCGAAAGGCAGCGGCGGCACCGCGUCCGGUCCUCGAGCGUAUGGGGCUUUGUCACCCGCUCUGUAGGCCCGGCCGGCGCCAGCCGACACCCAACUUUAUUUCUAAGGUUGACCUCGGAUCAGGUAGGAAUACCCGCUGAACUUAAGCAUAUCAAUAAGCGGAGGA
rnacentral:misc_RNA from 1 species